UACGGAGGGUGCAAGCGUUAAUCGGAAUUACUGGGCGUAAAGCGUGCGCAGGCGGUUUGUUAAGUCUGUUGUGAAAUCCCCGAGCUCAACUUGGGAAUUGCAAUGGAUACUGGCAGGCUCGAGUAUGGUAGAGGAAGGUGGAAUUCCCGGUGUAGCAGUGAAAUGCGUAGAGAUCGGGAGGAACACCAGUGGCGAAGGCGGCCUUCUGGACCAAUACUGACGCUCAUGCACGAAAGCGUGGGGAGCGAACAGG
rnacentral:rRNA from 1 species